GAGAACAGAUUUGUAGAAUCUAUCUGCAUUGAAACUGUUCUGGAAGCUUGUGGUGGUCCAACAACCUUACUAAGACACUUCUGUAUGUUUUGUUUCUCUUCAUACAGUGUAUAUCUUUGCUCUCUGCUCCUUCCCAGGUCUUACUAUUCGCUAUAUGCCCACUAGAGGUCCUCCUACAUACUAGUAUCACUAGUGCGGAUCUUGAUGGUGCUAGUGGGCCGGAUCUUGUGGCCGUCUUUAUACCACUCCCCAGUAACAUCCUCCAAAGAAACCUCACACAUGAAGACAGCAUUCUGGUCCUCCUGAAUGUAAAGGUCCUCCAGAUCUUGCGCUAUCUCCAACUUAUGCUCUGUGAGAGUCAGCCCGGGAGCACUGCAUCAUCUGACAGAACCGCUUCCGGCCCAUGGAGUAGAUCCGGCAGUUCUGCCCCGGCUUCAGCUCCUUCCCGUUCUGAUUCACAGAAGCAAAGGGACAGAGGAAUUCACUCCUCAUCGUCUUACCACGUGACUUCUGCAUCAUCUGCGGAGACAUGGCAAAGCAGCACCACGGGGUCCAGCUCCAUGCUGCUCUUAUGGAGCUCUUCCUCUGGGACCGGACUGAACUCCACAGGACAACCUAAAAAAAACAGGAGGAGGGAGGAAUGGAUGUCAACAGCUGGAACACAAGUAAGUUCCUCACCCAGAUGGACAGCUUUGGGAAACUCCACAUGACCGCUUCGCCCAUACUUGUUGAUGCAACAGACACGGAACCGGUAGUUGCCUUCGCACGGCACACUGUCGCCGCCAACCUCAGCUGAAGUGGCGUUCUCUGAGGUGAAACAUUUCUGCCACUCUUGGGAGCCCACUUCCUGUCUCUCCACGACAAAGAUUGAUCGGGUGGAGGUCUGGCUGUUGGGGGCAGGAACCCAGAACACAGCGUUCUCACCCUCCAGGACCUCCAGUUUCCGGGGAAGUUUGCGAAUAAUAGUACCUAGAUACACUCCAUCAUCAUCUGUCCCAACAUCAUGGAUGGUCAGUCUUCGUUUGGUUCCUUUCUGCUCGAUCCCGUAUUUACUGCUGGGCAUCAGCCGCUGGUCCUCCAGGUACCAGGCAGAUGGAACCGACUCAU